rnacentral:rRNA from 1 species
UACGGAAGGGGGGCUGUCGUUGUUCGGAAUUACUGGGCGUAAAGCGCGUGUAGGCGGCUAAGUAAGUCGGGCGUGGAAAUCCCACGGCUCAACCGUGGAAGUGCACUCGAAACUGCAUAGCUAGAGUCCUGGAGAGGAAGGUGGAAUGCUUGGAUGUAGAGGUGAAAUUCGUAGAUAUCAAGCGGAACACCGGUGGCGAAGGCGGCCAACUGGA